rnacentral:rRNA from 1 species
CCUACGGGAGGCAGCAGGGAGGAAUAUUGGUCAAUGGGCGCGAGCCUGAACCAGCCAAGUAGCGGGAAGGAUGACUGCCCUACGGGUUGUAAACUUCUUUUAUAAAGGAAUAAAGUGCGGCACGUGUGCCUUUUUGCAUGUACCUUAUGAAUAAGGAUCGGCUAACUCCGUGCCAGCAGCCGCGGUAAUACGGAGGUUCCGAGCGUUAUCCGGAUUUAUUGGGUUUAAAGGGAGCGUAGAUGGGUUGUUAAGUCAGUUGUGAAAGUUUGCGGCUCAACCGUAAAAUUGCAGUUGAUACUGGCAGUCUUGAGUACAGUUGAGGUAGGCGGAAUUCGUGGUGUAGCGGUGAAAUGCUUAGAUAUCACGAAGAACUCCGAUUGCGAAGGCAGCUUACUAAACUGCAACUGACAUUGAUGCUCGAAAGUGUGGGUAUCAAACAGGAUUAGAUACCCCAGUAGUC